GGAAAAAAAAAAGAACAUGAGAAAAGAAGAGGUGAGAGAAAGAGGAGAGAGAAAAAGUAAUAAGGGUAUUUUGGUCAGUUUGCUGAAAAAGCGAACCGAAUCUGGAAAAACGAAAAAGCUGGCCCGGUUUUGCAAAAGCCCGAAACUAGUGGAUUUUUUAUACAAAUUGGCCAUCUAAUUAAGUUGAUUAAAUAUUAAUAAAUUAUUUCUUUAUAAGUAAUGUAGAAAUAUUAAGAUUGAUGA
rnacentral:lncRNA from 1 species